GUAGGGAAUAUUGCGCAAUGGGGGAAACCCUGACGCAGCAACGCCGCGUGAGUGAGGAAGGUCUUCGGAUUGUAAAACUCUUUUAUUAGGGAAAAAUGUCUAGGUGGCUAAUAUCCACUUAGAGUGAUGGUACCUAAGGAAUAAGCACCGGCUAACUUCGUGCCAGCAGCCGCGGUAAUACGAAGGGUGCAAGCGUUGUUCGGAAUCAUUGGGCGUAAAGCGCGCGCAGGCGGGUCAGUAAGUCAGGUGUGAAAUCUCGGAGCUCAACUCCGAAACUGCGCCUGAAACUAUUGGUCUAGAGUAUCGGAGGGGACAGGGGAAUUUCACGUGUAGGGGUAAAAUCCGUAGAGAUGUGAAGGAACACCGGAGGCGAAGGCGCCUGUCUGGACGAUUACUGACGCUGAGGCGCGAAAGCGUGGGGAGCAAACAGGAUUAGAAACCCGGGUAGUCC
rnacentral:rRNA from 1 species